rnacentral:snRNA from 1 species
GUACGUUGGUAGCACAUAUCAUAAAAUUGGAACAAUACAGAGAUGAUUGGUAUGGCUCCUGUGCAAGGAUAGCAUGCUAUUAAUAAAGCAUUCUAUAUUCUAU